AACGCGAAGAACCUUACCAGCCUUUGACAUGUCCUGGACGGUUACNAGAGAUGGUUUCCUCUCUUNGGAGCCAGGAUGCAGGUGCUGCAUGGCUGUCGUCAGCUCGUGUCGUGAGAUGUUGGGUUAAGUCCCGCAACGAGCGCAACCCUCGCCCUUAGUUGCCAUCAUUUAGUUGGGCACUUUAGGGGGACUGCCGGUGAUAACCCGAGAGGAAGGUGGGGAUGACGUCAAGUCCUCAUGGCCCUUACGGGCUGGGCUACACACUGUGNUACAAUGGCGGUGACAAUGGGACGACGAAGGGGUGACCCUUAGCAAAUCUCAAAAANCCGUCUCAGUUCAGAUUGUACUCUGCAACUCGAGUACAUGAAUGGUGGAAUUCGCUAGUAAUCGCAGAUCAGAACGC
rnacentral:rRNA from 1 species